rnacentral:tRNA from 2 species
GGCCUCGUGGCUCAGUUGGUUAGAGCGCCGCCCUGUCACGGCGGAGGUCGCGGGUUCGAGUCCCGCCGGGGUCG